GCUCUCUGGAAGGCCGUUUUUUCCUACGUGCCUCUACGACGUGUAACGUUAAACAGCCAAUCACAAACAUUAUUAGAUCUUGGUAGAAGCAUGCUACAUGCGUACUGGCUCACUGACGCUGAUAAGCUUUUACUCGUUAGGUAUUGAAAUUUGGCAUUGAA